UCGAGCAGCAAUAAAAAAAAAAAAACUUAAUUCAACUCAAUUCAACAAGAACAAAAGAUGAACAACUUCAAAAACAAAAAUGAAUCAGUUUGAUCCGAAAAAACUCUUCCCCAAGUACAAUAACAUGAAAAUACCAAUACCCACUUUAAUUUAUAGCAAUCAAUCAAAGAAUGCGACAAUUAAGUAUAAAACCAAGGAGUCCCGUGAAAGGUAAGAAUGGUUUCUUGAGAACCAAUCUUAUCCCAAUUAGAAUGACAUCAAGAGAGAGAGAGAGAAAAUAAGGCCAAAAAUUCCGUGAGUUAGCACCGAAGCACAAAUAUGAGCUUGAGUUAUUCAAGACAAUGACCUAUCAGACCCCUGUACACAAGUAUAGAAAUCUACAAAGAACUGGUCCAUCGAAGAUGAAAUUAUAAAAGGCAAGAAAUACUUUGUGUGCAAAAAUGUAAAUUCCAUUGUGCACCUAUAAAUGAGAUAUUUUGAUGAAAUUAGACGCAUAUAUACUUAGACUAUAUAGGUGUAGAUGUAGAGAGAGAAAGGGACAGAGAAGAAUCACGGAUGGGUGUCGUUAUCUUUGGGUUUGACUGAGAGACGAGAGAGAUCAGAUGGCUGGUAGAUUCACCACUCUUUCACACUCUCUCUGCUCUCUCUCUCUCUUUCUGGUUCGCACUAUCUGCAAUUGCGAUCAAAAGGCGAGCCGUCAGGGAU
rnacentral:lncRNA from 1 species